rnacentral:lncRNA from 1 species
UAAUAACUAAAUCUAAAAUUAAAACUCUCUCAAUACUCUCAUCUCUCUCGACACACUUAUCUCUCUCGACACACUGUCUUUCUCUCGCGACUCAGCUCACCCUUGCUCCACCGGUCACGACCGCUCCUCUCCGCUUAUCUCCUGCAAACACUUUGUGACAGCCCUCCACUCACCUUGACUGAAGUCCACUCAUCACCUCCACUGCAACCGCACUCACCUCUGCUCUUCACCUCCGGUAUUUUCUACUCUCUACUCAACUUGGUAAGUUUGAAUUUUCACCUCCGAUAUUCUCUACUCUCUACUCAACUUGAUAAGUUUGAAUCGAACUGGGUAAGUCUUCUCCGCUCAUCUCUUGGUUAAAUCGAAAUCCUAACUUUGUAAAUUUGGGGUUUUUUCAAAUCGAAACCCUAAUUUUGUAAAUUUGGGGUUUUUUCAAAUCAAAACCCUAAUUAACUUCUCUGCCUUUGAAUUUGCUGCAGGACCUUUCUUGGAUACGGUUGUGGAAUUAAAACUUCAAGUAUGAAUUUAAAUUUGAAUUUGUGUGUUGCAACUUUAACUGGGCUUGUGUGUUGAGUUGAAAAUAUGUGUAUUUUAAGUGAGCUUCUUGAUUUUGAUGCCUUUUUUGUAGACAUAGAUUAUGUUUUCCCAUAGUAAUUACUCUAGAAGUUAAUACCCCGCGUUAUGCCUCUGUAUUUCUGCAUGUAAAGGAUUGCAAAAGAGAUACUUAAUGCAAAUAAAUAGUAUUACCUGCUUAAUAUCAACAAGGUUCACGUUAGCUCUUUAAUUAAUAUUGAGGUGGCUUGAGUUAUCACCUGUUUUCAUAAAUCAGUCUAGGACAAACAAAUGUAUUGCCCAUCACAAAUUCAACGAUAGUAGCAAUCCACUUCAUACUUGAGACUAACAUAUAGUGCACUAAUUGUUUUUGUAAUCUCACACACACAGAGGUAAACAUUGGUCACUGGCUAUAACAUAUUUAACCCCACUGACCCAAUUAUUACAUGUAGUAUUCUUAAAAAAAGUGAUGCCAUGAAGUGCCUAAAGAAUUUUCAAAUCUACAAGCACUAUAAUUGUGGACAUUGAUUGUUUCAUUUUGGUAUUUUGGCAUUCUUAAUGGUCGUUUCAUUUGAUGGGUCUUUUUGGCUAGUCUCCGCAGCUUAAGAACAGCCUCGAUAUCAAAACCCUUAUCCUACCCCUUUUCUCUGGAUAUUGUUCUGUUCCCCUGCCAACACAGAAAGUAUGGCCUUCUAGUUAAAGACCUAAAGAUGGCUAGUGUAUGCACUUAUAUUAAAUAUAAGAAUAAUGGGAAAGUCUUCUCAAUUAAAUUCAAUAUAAUGCAACUUUAACCCUGUAUAACAUAUUUAACUCUCACUUUGAAGUGUCUAGGCCAAACAGGAGAUGUGUUAAUGCGGAAUUAGUUUAUUAUGGCGUAGACAGUAAAGAACUGUAUCAUAGACUUUUUUCCUAACCUCUUGUUAGCACAAAAUAUCUUAAUAACAUUAGCAGAUGUAGCACAUAUAGGCUUGAAGUCCAACAAGACAUUGCAAAAGCAUGAAGAAUGGCUACAAAUAAAUUACAAGAAAAAUAACCAAUGCAGGGGCUGAUGAGCGAUCACAAUUAACUGUUGGUGUUAAGUAUACAAAAAUGAGACAAUAUCAAAAUUAACCAGUAAUGUGCAAGUGUACCUCCUGUAUAACAAAUGCACAAAUAUACAAAUGUAGAUAUGAUCAUUUAGUUCAUAACCAUAUUUAAAAUUUUACUAGCCAGUCAUAUCUUGGAUUUUUGACAAGGCAGUGUUGGAACCAAUCUUUUGCCCUAUUGCAGCAGAAGAAAAUGUGAAUAUUUUCUUUUUCGUACAUUUCUUUUCUGAAUAGUGCAGAUAUAAUAAUUGAUUAACUUGUUUCAUCUAUUUUAUUGGUCAAAUAAUUUGAAUAAUUCAUGUGUUCCUUUUAUGAGCACUUGUUAUGUAUGAAUAGGUAAUAGUGGUAAUCCUUUAGUAUUCACUUUCAGGCACCACAGGACGAAGAUGCUACAGAUCUCGAACGUGCAACUUUUGCGCUAUUCAUGCUGCCUGACUGGUACUUCUAAUUGCAAGAGCACAUAUGACCUUUAGGUCUUCUCUGUGUAGUAAAUUGCUAAUUUAGAAAGUUUCUAGUGGUAGCCUUAUGUUUGGUACAUAAUUAAUUAAGGUCAUUCAAUUUGUAGUACCGGAACACUUCAGUUAAAUAAUAGUGGUAGGUCGGUAGUUUGUAUUUUGGUAUAUUUUUCCGGAUUGAUUGAAUUGCUAGUGAUUUUGUGUUUUCAGAUUGAAUUGUUAAGGAUGAACGUGGUAGUUUUUUUGGUUUAUUUUGCGGAUCUGAUAUGUUGGGUGCUGUUGGUUGAUGUAUAAAUUGAAUAGUUGGUUGAUUGAAUUUUUGGCUACA